CAAACCUCAAGCUUCUGCUUGGUAUUGAGCGGUCCGCCUUCGGAAACGGAGGCGCCCUCGAAACUCGUGGGCGGUGAUGUCCAGCGUCGUAGCGUAGUCAUAAAACCAUUCCGCUUCCGAUUGCUCCUGGACGACUCACCCGCCGGGCGAACCGACGUCCUCGCGGCGUCACUCUUUUCAAG
rnacentral:misc_RNA from 1 species